rnacentral:lncRNA from 1 species
CCUCACCAGGCUGUGUCAAGCUGCGCCAGUGUCACAGGGAAGGGACAAGGUAUCAACAUCCAUGCUCUGACCUGUGUCUCCAUAGCAGGAAAGAUUAUCCAAAUUUUUCAUAUUCAGAGUCAGUAAGACAUUUCAGAGAAAGGCAAUGAACUCCUACAUUGUUUAUUGACCUUACUUAAGCGUUUCAUACCAGUGUGUCUGGCAGCUUUGGGAACUAUUGUGUAAGUGGGGUUACCCAGAAGUGAUUGCCAACAUUCUGAG